AAGUUCAGACAAUACGUUUGAAUUAAGUUUUAAGUUUUCUCUUGUAAAAACUUUCUUGUGAAAAAUAAAUAAUAAUAGCUUUGGUUUGAAGACAAUCUUCAAGGUACUGCAAAAAGAUGAUAUGGAGAAGAGAUACCAAUAUCUCGUUAAUUUUGCUGGUACUGGUUUCCUACAAAAGAUGAUAUGGAGAGGUUUAUAAACCUUCCAUUUUUUACUUUUCCCUCGUCUUUUAAUUUCUCACCAAAAAGCUUCCCAGAAAUCCUUUUCCACAUUUUUACUGUUACGCUCAUAGACUCUAGUCUGGCUGAGGCUAAACCAGUUAAAGCCAUUUCCACCAUAUUUUGCUUUUCCACUGAGUGAAAGACGAAGUGCAGGUACUACAAAGGAUGAAAUGGAGAGAUCAUAGGCCUUUUCUACUUCCCCAUUUCUUUUUUUCUUUUGGAAACAAAUAUACUCAAAUAUUUCCCACAUUUUUCUUUUCCUUUCAAGCCUAUCGACACUACUAUAUCUAUGGACUAAACAUUUAAGCUGUUCUACCAUAUUUUGCUUAUUUAUAAUACUUUUGAGUAAAGAUACAGUACCUUCCUCAUCAUCCCCACACCAUCCACGCGUCAGUUUUUCUCCAAAUUGGGUUGUGGGGUUCUAUCAUUGUGAGAACUUGUGAAACGUUAAACACAAAAAUUGAUUUGAGAUAGUGACAUGACAUUCUUCUCUUAUGAUGAAGAAACAGAUUUUACAAAAAAUGCAUUCACUGUCUUGCAAGCAGCUAAUAUAUGAACUUUUUACAGCAUUUUUUAACGAAUAUUUAGUUGUUAAUAGAGACAUCCCUCCUCCUUUACUUGAAUUAGCUUACUUGCAAAAAUUCAAAUAAAAGGACAAAUAAGGGAACAAUAUAGUAAAACCAUAUUGUUCUGAAUAGUCCUGAGUAUGUAGUUCUAUAAGCAGUUACUUGACAAUGUUUUUCUUUAGACUAUUACAUGAAUAUACAUCCAUUGCAACUGAUAUGCUGUCCAAAGCUCUUUUACUGAUGUUCUAACAUCAAGUUUGCAAUAGGAAGAAAGAAAAUACAUUUAGUCUCAAAUUGGAUGGAUGGGUUGCAAUCUUAUAGAUCAGAUUAUUAAGAAAGCAAAAGAGGAGCAGGAAUUUUAGGACGUAAUGAACAUCUCCCAAUGCGGGAAAAUAUAUUUAUAACAAAUAAGGAUGUGGAAACUGACAGCCCAAAUGUUUCAUAUAAUUAUAACAUAAGGGUCUCAUAAGUGUAAUCAUAUGAAUAAGUUACACACGUCCUGCUAUUAAGUGUCUCCAUUUUGUAUGAAAGUAAAUCCUGUGCCUCCACCAAAAGUUGGCAUAAGAGUCUUCAAUCUAGAGGAGUGCGGAGUGCCAUUUGUGAGAAGGAACACAUAGACAAUAUUCAAAAGAUUGACGAGAAACCAAAAGAUCAGGGAUCAGUCAAUUGUUGUUUCCUGGUGUUCACUUUUACAUGAACACAUAGGAUAAAUACAUGGCAAUGAUAAAAUAGUCAAAGCUAUGAUCAAAUCAUCCAUCACGUAUAUACACCGAUAGAAUGCUAGACCCGAAUCAUUUAGGA